AAUAGAUACCCUGGUAGUCCACGCCGUAAACGAUGAGUGCUAAGUGUUAGAGGGUUUCCGCCCUUUAGUGCUGCAGCUAACGCAUUAAGCACUCCGCCUGGGGAGUACGGUCGCAAGACUGAAACUCAAAGGAAUUGACGGGGGCCCGUACAAGCGGUGGAGCAUGUGGUUUAAUUCGAAGCAACGCGAAGAACCUUACCAGGUCUUGACAUCCCACUGACCGGUAUAGAGAUAUACCCUUUCCCUUCGGGGACAGUGGUGACAGGUGGUGCAUGGUUGUCGUCAGCUCGUGUCGUGAGAUGUUGGGUUAAGUCCCGCAACGAGCGCAACCCUUGAUCUUAGUUGCCAGCAUUUAGUUGGGCACUCUAAGGUGACUGCCGGUGACAAACCGGAGAAAGGUGGGGAUGACGUCAAAUCAUCAUGCCCCUUAUGACCUGGGCUACACACGUGCUACAAUGGAUGGUACAAAGGGCUGCAAGACUGCGAAGUCAAGCCAAUCCCAAUAAAACCAUUCUCAGUUCGGAUUGCAGG
rnacentral:rRNA from 1 species